AGUGGGAUUGCUGGGUCAAAUGGUGGUUUCUGAGGAAUCUCCACACUGCUUCCCAUAGUGGUUGCACCAAUUUGCAGUCCUGCCAGCAAU
rnacentral:pre_miRNA from 1 species